rnacentral:rRNA from 1 species
GACGAACGCUGGCGGCGUGCUUAACACAUGCAAGUCGAACGAAGAGCGAUGGAAGCUUGCUUCUAUCAAUCUUAGUGGCGAACGGGUGAGUAACGCGUAAUCAACCUGCCCUUCAGAGGGGGACAACAGUUGGAAACGACUGCUAAUACCGCAUACGAUCUAACCUCGGCAACGAGGAAAGAUGAAAGGUGGCCUCUAUGUAUAAGCUAUCACUGAAGGAGGGGAUUGCGUCUGAUUAGCUAGUUGGAGGGGUAACGGCCCACCAAGGCGAUGAUCAGUAGCCGGUCUGAGAGGAUGAACGGCCACAUUGGGACUGAGACACGGCCCAGACUCCUACGGGAGGCAGCAGUGGGGAAUCUUCCGCAAUGGACGAAAGUCUGACGGAGCAACGCCGCGUGAGUGAUGACGGCCUUCGGGUUGUAAAGCUCUGUUAAUCGGGACGAAAGGCCUUCUUGCGAAUAGUGAGAAGGAUUGACGGUACCCGAAAGAAA